rnacentral:sRNA from 2 species
UUGCAAGCCACUCUGAUGCUUCUUAGUGUGUAUGUGAAUAUACUUAGUUAGUACUUAUACCUCCCCGGUAUAGACAGGUGAUU